AACCUGAAUGUUCUCGAACCUGA
rnacentral:siRNA from 1 species